rnacentral:tRNA from 1 species
AGGACCGUGGCUGAAUUAGCAAAGCAUAGGAGUACGGUUCCUAAGAUGAGGGUUCAAGUCCCGCCGGCUGUC